UGGAAUCACAGGAAGGAAACCUCCGUGGGCAGCAGGAGCAAGUGCAAUCCCUGGAGACGAGUCGAAGGGGCCCGAGGCCCCGAGAAGGGCAGGAUGCGAUGCUGGGUGUGUGACCUCAGCCAUGGAAGGGCCACCUGCCACCGGGGGGCUGGGCCGUCGGGCCUUUGGUUGUGGAGGGAAAAGAGUGGCCACUUGCUGGAGCUGGGAACGUGCAGUGAUGAGCACUAGGACAAGAGGACCGUGACAAACAGACAUAGAAGGUAAAACUGCCCGAGUACAGGCUGAUCCACAGACCUGUGUCCAGGGAGAGGCCUCAGGAUGGAUUUGGAAAUGCAGGACAGGUUCAUGAAAUCCUCACACACCUGCCACAUACUCAAGGAGGGUGCUGUUUACUUGAUUGAUUGUGCUGGUCCUGAACAUCUGACAUGAUUUGUGGUUAUAAAUGGGUGUUUGCCGUUAA
rnacentral:lncRNA from 10 species